CGCCUGCGAGCUGGGUUGUGUAAAGGCUGGUCAUUUUGGGGCGCUUAGGGGUGGGUGCCGGGGGGCGCGCUUUCCCUCGUGAAGGUCGCUCCAGGAGUCAUGCGUACAUUCGUUCAUUUUGCUCUGGACGCACUGAUGUUCCCGGCUCGCCGCCGUGCCGCAGUCACGAGGCUCUCCGAACGCCUUUCACUGUGUUUCUGUUUACAUUCGCGUCUGCAAGACCCGGCGGCGCGACCGAGGCCCGAACAGAUGGAGAUGGGCUGCCAUGUUGUGAGCUGCCCCAUGGGGAAGAGGCUCACAUGUGAGGAACUGAGGGAGGCCUCCAGAAAACAGCCAGUGAAGAACUGAGACCCUCAGUCCAAUAGCCUAUGAGGAACUGAAUCCUGCUGACAACCAUAUGAAUGAGCUUGGAAGCAGAUCCUUCCCCAGUGAAGCCUUCAUGUGAGACUGCAGCCCACUUGACACUUUGAUUUGUAGCUUGUGACAGACCCCAAGCCAGAAGAGUCAGGUAAGCAGUGCCUGCACUCCUGACCCAUGGCAACUGGCAUGAUAAAUGUUUUUUCCCAUGAAGCUAUGUUUUAGAGUAAUUUGUUUUGCAGCAAUAGAUA
rnacentral:lncRNA from 1 species